rnacentral:rRNA from 1 species
GACGAACGCUGGCGGCGUGCCUAAUACAUGCAAGUCGAGCGAACUUUAAGAGUGCUUGCACACUUAAAGUUAGCGGCGAACGGGUGAGUAACACGUAAAGAACCUACCUUAUAGACAGGGACAACUAUUGGAAACGAUAGCUAAUACCUGAUAAGAAAGAAACUCGCAUGAGAGAAGUUCGAAAGUCGGAGCAAUCUGACACUAUAAGAUGGCUUUGCGGUGCAUUAGCUAGUUGGUAGGGUAAAAGCCUACCAAGGCGACGAUGCAUAGCCGACCUGAGAGGGUGAUCGGCCACAUUGGGACUGAGACACGGCCCAGACUCCUACGGGAGGCAGCAGUAGGGAAUCUUCCGCAAUGGACGAAAGUCUGACGGAGCAACGCCGCGUGAGUGAAGAAGGAUUUCGGUUCGUAAAACUCUGUUGUUAGGGAAGAAAAAAUGUAUAGUAACUAUAUACAAAAGAGACGGUACCUAACCAGAAAGCCACGGCUAACUAC